CACCACUGUCCUACGACUCACAAGAAGCAUCAAGAAUCCCAAGGUGGGGAUUGUACCACCCACGCGCUAUCCAUCAAGCAGUGCACCUGCUCAUAAUAUCAUGAGUAUAUUUUAGCCUACUUUUUAUUAUCAAAACCAUAACAGCUAUUCAGGGAGCACUAUAUAUUUUAUCUUUAUCCCGAGCAGGAUUAUCCUAUUGGACUGCUAUACCGAAGAACACCAGAGACACUCCACAUAUCCUUGUUCCUCUUCAUGCCAUAUAAAUCAGAGCUG